GCGGAUUAGUGAAAAGGUAUCACGCUGGUCUCCUUAACCAGAAAUACAGGUUCAAGUCCUGUGUCCGCA
rnacentral:tRNA from 1 species